GUCGCUACUACCGAUUGAAUGGCUCAGUGAGGCGUUCGGACUGGCUUGGAGAGGUUGGCAACGACCACUCUGAGCCGGAAAGUUCGUCAAACUCGGUCAUUUAGAGGAAGUAAAAGUCGUAACAAGGUUUCU
rnacentral:rRNA from 1 species